rnacentral:lncRNA from 1 species
UUGAAAAAUGGCAAAACGGGAAAAAUUAUUGUGGUAAAAAUCCGGCGAGAGGGCGGUUUGACCACGCGGGUGAUGGGCACUGUGCGUACGCGCAUGCGCAAAAAGUGGCUACGGGGCGUACACACAGCGCGCACGUCCCAUUUGUACACCAGCACGUACGCGCACGUCCCCUCCGCAUGUACGCGCGCACGGGACGUGCACCCUAUCUACACGCUAGCGUGCAUGUUCCUCUCUGUGUGCAGACAUGCACACAUGGGACGUGCGCACAACAUGCACAUCUCAUCCACACGCAUGGCGCGGGGUCACCUCGCACACGGACAGGCAUCGUACACUGUGUGCAGGCUGUCCGCGUAGUAAGCCAACGCAGACAGGCCUUGUGCGCCUGAGGCUUGUGCGUACGG